CUGAGCCAUCUGCACAGUUUUCUUCUCCAUCACACAAGAGGCUGUAUUGGAUACACUCUGAGCCAUCCUUACACAGUACAGUACCCACUUUACACCUCAUAGUGCUGCUCCCAGCUGUCACAAAAAUCCCUAUGAACCCCAAACAAAGCCAUAACCAGCCACCCAUCGCUACAGACAAAAUAAAAAAUGAACCAGAUCACUCAACCAACACCACCCUAACUAAACCCAGCCUGCUGCUCUGCUCCCUGCCUGGCUUGGUGUGGCCUCCUCUGGCUUAUAUGGACACCACCUGCCAAUCAAGCAGAUUGGCCACACCUGCCAGGUGAGCCGAAGGGAACUGGAUGGAAAAGAGGCCAGACAGCAGCAGCACGUUCAGACGUUGGUUGAGGAGGUCGAACUGCCGUCACAUCAGAGCGACUCCUAAAAGCAGCUGUUUCACCAAACACUGCAGCUAGACAUCGUGACUGUUUAUCUCCUCAGCACCAGCAGGGUUUUGCUCUGACAUCACAGUUUAAAAGGAUCACAUGUGAAGCUACUAAAACCAAGAGCACCACAUCAAGAUCUUUGGCAGUAGGACACUCUGCAGGUACAUUUCUACAAACAUUUAAAUCUUUUGUGAUGAAUUUAUUCACCUUCUGUCUCAUAGUCAUAUUUGUGCUCUC